CAAGUACUCCCUCCAUCCGAAAUUACUUGUCAUCAAAAUGGAUGUGUCUAGAACUAAAAUACAUCUAGAUACAUCAAUUUCAAUGACAAGUAUUUUCGGACGGAGGGAGUAUAAG
rnacentral:pre_miRNA from 1 species